UACGUAGGGUGCGAGCGUUAAUCGGAAUUACUGGGCGUAAAGCGUGCGCAGGCGGUGAUGUAAGACAGUUGUGAAAUCCCCGGGCUCAACCUGGGAACUGCAUCUGUGACUGCAUCGCUGGAGUGCGGCAGAGGGGGAUGGAAUUCCGCGUGUAGCAGUGAAAUGCGUAGAUAUGCGGAGGAACACCGAUGGCGAAGGCAAU
rnacentral:rRNA from 1 species